rnacentral:rRNA from 1 species
UACGUAGGGGGCUAGCGUUGCUCGGAAUCACUGGGCGUAAAGGGUGCGUAGGCGGGACUUUAAGUCAGGGGGGAAAUCCUGGAGCUCAACUCCAGAACUGCCUUUGAUACUGAGGAUCUUGAGUUCGGGAGAGGUGAGUGGAACUGCGAGUGUAGAGGUGAAAUUCGUAGAUAUUCGCAAGAACACCAGUGGCGAAGGCGGCUCACUGGCCCGAUACUGACGCUGAUGCACGAAAGCGUGGGGAGCAAACAGG